GAUGAGAACGUAGCGAAAUGCGAUAAGUAAUGUGAAUUGCAGAAUUCAGUGAAUCAUCGAAUCUUUGAACGCACAUUGCGCCCCCUGGUAUUCCGGGGGGCAUGCCUGUCCGAGCGUCAUUGCUGCCCUCAAGCACGGCUUGUGUGUUGGGCCUCCGUCCUCCUCCCGGGGGACGGGCCCGAAAGGCAGCGGCGGCACCGCGUCCGGUCCUCGAGCGUAUGGGGCUUCGUCACCCGCUCUUGUAGGCCCGGCCGGCGCUUGCCGACACAUCAAUCUUUUUUCCAGGUUGACCUCGGAUCAGGUAGGGAUACCCGCUGAACUUAAGCAUAUCAUAAGCGGAGGA
rnacentral:misc_RNA from 1 species